rnacentral:rRNA from 1 species
UAGGGAAUCUUCGGCAAUGGACGGAAGUCUGACCGAGCAACGCCGCGUGAGUGAAGAAGGUUUUCGGAUCGUAAAGCUCUGUUGUAAGAGAAGAACGAGUGUGAGAGUGGAAAGUUCACACUGUGACGGUAUCUUAUCAGAAAGGGACGGCUAACUACGUGCCAGCAGCCGCGGUAAUACGUAGGUCCCGAGCGUUGUCCGGAUUUAUUGGGCGUAAAGCGAGCGCAGGCGGUUAGAUAAGUCUGAAGUUAAAGGCUGUGGCUUAACCAUAGUAGGCUUUGGAAACUGUUUAACUUGAGUGCAAGAGGGGAGAGUGGAAUUCCAUGUGUAGCGGUGAAAUGCGUAGAUAUAUGGAGGAACACCGGUGGCGAAAGCGGCUCUCUGGCUUGUAACUGACGCUGAGGCUCGAAAGCGUGGGGAGCAAACAGGAUUAGAUACCCUGGUAGUCCACGCCGUAAACGAUGAGUGCUAGGUGUUAGACCCUUUCCGGGGUUUAGUGCCGCAGCUAACGCAUUAAGCACUCCGCCUGGUGGAGUNACGACCGCAAGGUUGAA